CAGCUCAGGACGAACGCUGGCGGCGUGCCUAAUACAUGCAAGUCGAACGCUUCUUUUUCCACCGGAGCUUGCUCCACCGGAAAAAGAGGAGUGGCGAACGGGUGAGUAACACGUGGGUAACCUGCCCAUCAGAAGGGGAUAACACUUGGAAACAGGUGCUAAUACCGUAUAACAAUCGAAACCGCAUGGUUUUGAUUUGAAAGGCGCUUUCGGGUGUCGCUGAUGGAUGGACCCGCGGUGCAUUAGCUAGUUGGUGAGGUAACGGCUCACCAAGGCCACGAUGCAUAGCCGACCUGAGAGGGUGAUCGGCCACAUUGGGACUGAGACACGGCCCAAACUCCUACGGGAGGCAGCAGUAGGGAAUCUUCGGCAAUGGACGAAAGUCUGACCGAGCAACGCCGCGUGAGUGAAGAAGGUUUUCGGAUCGUAAAACUCUGUUGUUAGAGAAGAACAAGGAUGAGAGUAACUGUUCAUCCCUUGACGGUAUCUAACCAGAAAGCCACGGCUAACUACGUGCCAGCAGCCGCGGUAAUACGUAGGUGGCAAGCGUUGUCCGGAUUUAUUGGGCGUAAAGCGAGCGCAGGCGGUUUCUUAAGUCUGAUGUGAAAGCCCCCGGCUCAACCGGGGAGGGUCAUUGGAAACUGGGAGACUUGAGUGCAGAAGAGGAGAGUGGAAUUCCAUGUGUAGCGGUGAAAUGCGUAGAUAUAUGGAGGAACACCAGUGGCGAAGGCGGCUCUCUGGUCUGUAACUGACGCUGAGGCUCGAAAGCGUGGGGAGCAAACAGGAUUAGAUACCCUGGUAGUCCACGCCGUAAACGAUGAGUGCUAAGUGUUGGAGGGUUUCCGCCCUUCAGUGCUGCAGCUAACGCAU
rnacentral:rRNA from 1 species